GAAUAUCACAAAAGCACCAGAAGAACACUAGCCUCCCAGAGGCCUGAUGGGAUUUCCUGUACCAGAACGACUUGGACAGAGAAAGAGCCUCAUUGUUCAGAGCCAGCAGUUGGCGGUAAAGGGCCAGGAUCCUGGAUCAUUGUUAAUGUUUUCGACCCCAAGGAAAAUGACCGUCAUGCCUCCUCAUCUUACUGCUGCCAAGUUCAUGUCCAGCGGAGGGCCCGAUGCUACGGAGACACAUCGGUGGAUCCCAGCUUUUAUGACCCAGACCAUUCUCCAAGAAGCAGUGUACCAAACUCUGGUUUCAUGGAAGCUCUCCUGACCCUCUACUCAGGAAUUCCCCGAUGGACUGUGACAGGGCUGUCCAUCACCCUCAAGUCCUCCUAGCAGUGGAGAUGUACGAGGUAAGUUUCCUAAGUCUCUGAAAGGAAGGCAUCUGGAAGGUGCUUUAUCCUCAAAUGGCAUAAAAACGAGCAGGUGCCAUCACAGUGCACAUCAGGCUGCAUCUCAGGCCCCCGCCUGACACUCUCCCUGGCUGCUCGGCCCCUUUCUCCCCAGGCCAGGGAAUAUAAGUCACCAAGCUUGGCCAGGGAAAAAGCCAGCAGGAGAAGACACAGACACAUAUUUGAACCAGUAGAGCAUGACAGAGGACUGGAUACCAGUUUGCUGCGGGACAAGAUCAUGAGAAUACGAGUGGCUGUUACUCCGAGUCUCAAACACUUGGGUUCCACAUAGAUGCCCAAGAGAUCAAUUUUGCGCCACGAGGGACUGGGCCAUGCCCAAGGGUAGAUUUCAGGGUUCCUGGUCAAAAGAUGGCAAAUCCCAGCUCUCCAUGAAAAUUGGAGAAAACAGGGAGAGUUCUGCAGAAACACUUUCCCUGUUCCACUAGUGCCAAAAAACACACCUUCUCAGGACGGCUGGUCAGGUUAGAUGUCAUGGUGGUUUUUCCUGUGAAAACUAUAGACUGGUAGAAAAUAACCACAUGACCUUCACAGUUUCAGACAGCCGAGCUACUGACUUUUUGGCUGUGCCUUUUAUAGGAAUAAACUUUUUUGGGGAUUGAGGCCAAGAUAUUUGUCCUCCAUUUUCAUACUCUGAUAAGAAAAGGCAGAAAAAUCAGAUGACCAAGAACCCACCAGGAACACUGAAACUACCUUAGGUAAGCAGUCACAACUAGGUUAUACUUUUUUAAAAGAUAUGUCCAUCUACCCCUUUGCCAUUACUUUACUCCCCCCCCCCCAAAGGUUUGGCUGACAUAAUAUGAAUAAAGUUGACGUAUUUUCCUUUGUACUGAGACCAUGGGGCCCUUGUUCACAGCCUUAACAGCCACUUGAACUCUUCUAUCCUGUAACCAUCAACUAAAGCAUCUUUGAGAUACACACACACACACACACACACACACACAGCUGCGUAUUACAGGAAAGAAAACUCCACCUGCCACCUGACAAUGCCCAAUGUGAAACAGAGCACUGGCCUGGGAAUGCCUGUGCUGCCCACUUGGAGCAAAUCACUGAACCUGUCCAGGCUUCAGCUUUCUCCUCUGAGGUCCUUUCUGGCUCUGCCGUUCUUGUUUGCUAAUAAUGCCCACUAACUUCUCUUCUCUUCCCACUCACUUUUCCCUAAAUACCUCUACUUUCCUCUUGUGGUGAGUCCACAGGCUGUCUUCACUUUAGUCUUGGCUCCUGCACAACCUCGCCAAAUGAACCAUUUCCUCUUCUCCCCACCCCAGCUCAAAGCUCUAACGUCUCUUUUCCCUGACCCUGGGUCUCCCAAGGAGGCCUGGCCACACAGACCACAGGCUCCAACACCUUUCAGCAACUCUCCCAAGUAUUCAAGUCAAGCCUGUCCUCAAUUUUCUCCUCUAGAGCAGAAAACAACACCCGACAGGCCACAACUCUUCAAGUAUGUCCUUCUGGACCCUAUACCCUGUCUUUUACAGCAAGUCCCUUCCACACCCCUUUCUCCGAGUUCAAAAGCGGGGCAUGAACAGGGCAGGGGGCAGGCCAGAGCUUCCAGACUUGGAAGAUCCCACAGGUCAAAGCCAUCCUGACCCUGCCCCCCUCGGUCCAACCGGCCAGCACCCCGCCCCCAAACACUCCUGGAGCCUCCUACGACUU